AAUAGCCUAACGGCUGAACCAGCAACUUGGAGGAAUGUAUAGCGAAAGCUAGUUGCAUUUAACUUAGCUUUUGCUAAGUUGGUGCAAGAUCGACUAUGUCGAAUAAAGUUCUAGGUGGGAUAUGAUGAUGACAUUUCCUAUCUAUGUGUCUUGACCAAAUUACGUGCCAGCAGUCGCGGUAACACGUAGAAGACUAGUGUUAUUCAUCUUUAAUAGGUUUAAAGGGUACCUAGACGGUAAAUCAAGUCCGAAAAGGAUACUAAUUUACUAGAGUUUAAUGUGAGGGGGCACUAAAGUACUGAUAAGUGUAGAGAUGAAAUUCUGUGAUACAAUAUACGGCACUGGUAAAGGCGAAAGCAUCUCAUUAUGUAAUAACUGACGUUGAGGGACGAAGGCUAGGUGUAGCAAAAAGGAUUAGAUACCCAAGUAGUCUUAGCAGAAAAUUAUGAAUGUCAUAGGAUAGAAAAAUGGACAAAAAAUUUUUUUUCUAUAAAUGAAAGUGUAAGCAUUCCACCUCGAGAGUAAUUUGGCAACAUUGGAACUGAAAUCAUUAGACCGUUUCUGAAACAAGUAGUGAAGUAUGUUGUUUAAUUUGAUAGUCCGCAAAAAACCUUACCACAAUUUGAAUAGAAAAUUUUAUUUCAUACAAGCGCUGCACGGUUGUCUUCAGUUAAUGUCGUGAGAUCUUGGUUAGUUCCAUUAAAUUAACGUAAACCCUUAUUUUAUUUUUAUAUAGAGUAGUUCACCGCUAGAUUGGAUGUGAUAACAGGGACUAAGACAAGUCAUCAUGGCCUUAAUAUUGUGGGCUAUAGACGUGCCACAUAUGCCUUACAAAGGGAUGCAAAAUUGCGAAAUUGAGCUAAUCCCCUAAAAAUGGAUAAAAACUUAAU
rnacentral:rRNA from 1 species